CAUACUUUUGAGUAACUGCUUCCUGUUGUCCUAAAGUUGGACAGAGACAGAGUUAUUACCCUGCUGUGAUUCUACUGAAGACAGUAAGUACUCCCACGUCAGCAGAAGCUGAAAGUAAUUCUGAAUUCCUGUGCACUGACAUGCGAACGCAGCCCACCUGCUCGAUGUCACCCCGACUGGGAAUCUGAGCUGUGGCUUGCACUUUGAUCUCACGAUUGUAAAAAUUUCCAAACUUCCACAGAUAGUUGUUUUUUCUGGGGAGGAGCAUAAAACUGAAGAUCUACCAACUGGAAAGAAGGUGGAGAUGGUUAAAGCCAUUCGUUACUGAUUCGACAGCGAAGUUUGGUGAGAGGAGACCUCUGUGGGGUAAUCAGUUCAGUCUUCAGGUGAGAACAAAAGUCAGUGCUGGAGACAAAAAAAACUGCAAAUGCUGGAAUCGAAGGUAGAUAAACAGGAGGCUGGAAGAACACAGCAGGCCAGGCAGCAACAAAUCCAUCUCGUUUGUUGCUGUUGUGCUGCAGGAGAUGAGCGAUGAAAUCUGUUGACAAACACAUGCAUGCACACAAACAUGUGCAGACAUAUGUGAUACAGUCCGUGACAAAGGGAAGCUCUGCACUGGGGAAGAGACAGAGAUGAAAAUUCACAAACAGUUUUUUCAUCAGACAGCAGGGUCAAGCACAUACUUCUGCUUUUCCCGGAGAUCCCGAGUCUUGUUGCGGUUUGGACGGUUGGUGGUGGUCGGGAUGGAGUGCACAGACGAGCUUUUCUUACUGGAAGUGUGUGAGGAAUGAGACGAGUGCGAUAAGCUGCCACGAGAUUGGCCAGCAUUAUGGUCAAAUUGCAUCAAACAGAAGAUCACAUCCGUUGAGACUAGUUCGAAUUCAUAAUGUGGAUUAGCAAUCACAUAUCUGAAGAGGAAGAAGAAAUAUAAAUGAACUAUGUAAAUUGUCCAAGGGAUUGGCACAUUAUGAUGCACAU